UGGGGGAUAUUGCACAAUGGGCGAAAGCCUGAUGCAGCGACGCCGCGUGGGGGAUGAAGGCCUUCGGGUUGUAAACUUCUUUUGCUCUGAACAAGGCAUGCUAAUGGGUGUGUUGAGUGUAGGGGUUGAUUAGCGCCGGCUAACUACGUGCCAGCAGCCGCGGUAAUACGUAGGGCGCGAGCGUUGUCCGGAAUUAUUGGGCGUAAAGGGCUUGUAGGUGGCUGGUUGCGUAUGUCGUGAAAGCUCAUGGCUUAACUGUGGGUUUGCGGUGGGUACGGGCUGGCUUGAGUGCAGUAGGGGAGGCUGGAAUUCCUGGUGUAGCGGUGGAAUGCGCAGAUAUCAGGAGGAAUACCGGUGGCGAAGGCGGGUCUCUGGGCUGUUACUGACACUGAGGAGCGAAAGCAUGGGGAGCGAACAGG
rnacentral:rRNA from 1 species